GCGAUGAGCUAAUUUGUGUAAGUCGAAGGACAUGCUUUCGAGCUAAACGUGUGAAUGUGGUCACACGGUCCCCGCCACAAACGCAUCAAAGACGUCCUACGUGGACGUCUU
rnacentral:sRNA from 2 species